CAGGACGAACGCUGGCGGCGUGCCUAAUACAUGCAAGUCGAACGCACUGACGUCGACAGAAGGUGCUUGCACUGGAAGUUGAUUGACGUGAGUGGCGGACGGGUGAGUAACACGUGGGUAACCUGCCCUUAAGCGGGGGAUAACAUUUGGAAACAGAUGCUAAUACCGCAUAAAAGUUGAGAUCACAUGGUCUUAAUUUGAAAGACGGCCUUUGGCUGUCACUUAAGGAUGGACCCGCGGCGUAUUAGCUAGUUGGUGAGAUAAUAGCCCACCAAGGCGAUGAUACGUAGCCGACCUGAGAGGGUAAUCGGCCACAUUGGGACUGAGACACGGCCCAAACUCCUACGGGAGGCAGCAGUAGGGAAUCUUCCACAAUGGACGAAAGUCUGAUGGAGCAACGCCGCGUGAGUGAAGAAGGUUUUCGGAUCGUAAAACUCUGUUGUUGGAGAAGAACAGGGACUAGAGUAACUGUUAGUCCUUUGACGGUAUCCAACCAGAAAGCCACGGCUAACUACGUGCCAGCAGCCGCGGUAAUACGUAGGUGGCAAGCGUUGUCCGGAUUUAUUGGGCGUAAAGCGAGCGCAGGCGGUUUCUUAAGUCUGAUGUGAAAGCCUUCGGCUUAACCGAAGAAGUGCAUCAGAUACUGGGAAACUUGAGUGCAGAAGAGGAAAGUGGAACUCCAUGUGUAGCGGUGAAAUGCGUAGAUAUAUGGAAGAACACCAGUGGCGAAGGCGGCUUUCUGGUCUGUAACUGACGCUGAGGCUCGAAAGUAUGGGGAGCGAACAGGAUUAGAUACCCUGGUAGUCCAUACCGUAAACGAUGAAUGCUAAGUGUUGGAGGGUUUCCGCCCUUCAGUGCUGCAGCUAACGCAUUAAGCAUUCCGCCUGGGGAGUACGACCGCAAGGUUGAAACUCAAAGGAAUUGACGGGGGCCCGCACAAGCGGUGGAGCAUGUGGUUUAAUUCGAAGCUACGCGAAGAACCUUACCAGGUCUUGACAUCUAGCGCCAAUCCUAGAGAUAGGACGUUCCCUUCGGGGACGCUAAGACAGGUGGUGCAUGGUUGUCGUCAGCUCGUGUCGUGAGAUGUUGGGUUAAGUCCCGCAACGAGCGCAACCCUUAUGAUUAGUUGCCAGCAUUUAGUUGGGCACUCUAAUCAGACUGCCGGUGACAAACC
rnacentral:rRNA from 1 species